UUUGACCUCGGAUCAGGUAGGGAUACCCGCUGAACUUAAGCAUAUCAAU
rnacentral:rRNA from 6 species